rnacentral:lncRNA from 12 species
AUGUAUAGCUUUUUCUCUCCCUUCUCUUUGCCCUCCCUUCUUCCUGCUACCAGUUGCAAGAUAGCUGGAGGUUGCUCACUAUCUGGGCUCCAUGAAGGAAAGAUGUGGGGAGAAGAGACCUUGAUCCUAACACUUGGAACUGCCAGCAAUCACUCACUUAUACAUCUCUUGCUGUUUGUGAAAGAAGUGCAAAAUUUCCACUGCUUUGCUACAUCUGGUCUGGUAAUGGGAGAGAAUGAUUAACAUUUAGGGAAUGUUAUACUAGUAACCAUUCCAGCAUCUUUUUCACCUAUAAAUGUUUUCUACAAUAAAAUCCUUAAACCUCCAAAUAUCCCA